UACGUAGGGAGCAAGCGUUGUCCGGAAUCAUUGGGCGUAAAGCGCGCGUAGGCGGCCUCAUAAGUCCGUUGUGAAAGUCAAAGGCUCAACCUUUGAAAGCCGAUGGAUACUGUGAGGCUAGAGUCCGGAAGAGGCGAGUGGAAUUCCUGGUGUAGCGGUGGAAUGCGCAGAUAUCAGGAGGAACACCAAUUGCGAAGGCGGCUCACUGGCCCGGUACUGACGCUGAGGCGCGAAAGCGUGGGGAGCAAACAGG
rnacentral:rRNA from 1 species